ACACUUGCUUUGGCAGUGUACUUGCUAAAAUUGGAAAAACACAGGCAAGAUUAGCAGGGUCCUUGUGCAAGUAUGUGAAUUUUAAUGAAAUAGUAUUAUGACAAGUGU